UACAGAGGUCUCAAGCGUUGUUCGGAAUCACUGGGCGUAAAGGGCGCGUAGGCGGUGCGCUAAGUCAGUUGUUAAAGGCCAUGGCUCAACCAUGGUUAGGCAACUGAUACUGGCGGACUUGAGUAUUGAAGGGGCACACGGAAUUUACGGUGUAGCAGUGAAAUGCGUAGAUAUCGUAAGGAACACCAACGGCGAAGGCAGUGUGCUGGGCAAAUACUGACGCUGAGGCGCGAGAGUCAAGGAAGCAAACGGG
rnacentral:rRNA from 1 species